ensembl:miRNA
UGUACAUGCACAUAUAUAUGUGUGUGUGUAUGUAUGUGUGUGUGUGUGUGUGUGUGUGUGUAUAUAUAUAUAUACACACACACACACACAUAUAUAUAUAUAUAUAUA